CGCCUUUUGAGCGUUUCCGUGAUCUUCUGUACACUGAUCGUAGAGGUUACUCCACACAUGUAUGUGUCACUUCGUGUGUAAUCCUUGCGAAUGAAAUGUUGAUAAAAAAAGGCAGCCAACACGGUGCGAAACUUUUUUCGCUUAUGUUUGGUCUUGCAGGAGGAGUGUAUAUUUUUUUACCAGUCUUUAAAGCAGCUGUGGUACAUCAAAGGCAACAGGAGGCCCUAAAAGCGACGGCGAACGAGACGGAAACACAAAUUAUUACUGAAUCGGAAUCCGGACAGGCAUCAUAACAUUGUCGAACACAUUGAACGGUAUUUCUGAAACAGAAAUGAAAGUGCCCAAAGGAGCAUUGUAUUUUGCAUCGCUAGCAUCACUAGCCCUAUUGUUUGCUGAUAUGCUUUCUCGUAAAAGAGAUCCAUUAGGAGACUCUGAAAUACAUAGAUUGUCUCGUUUCAAAGAAUUUGAAGACAUGUCCAAAAAGAAUAAGGAAGAGGAAAUGUUUGAUUAGUUUAAAUGGGAUGGAAAUGGAAAGCAGAGAAUUGUUAUACAAGCAUUUUUAUAGAGUUUGGUUUGUUGGAUAAAUGGAGAAUCGAACUGUGUAGCAACUGUGAUGCCUAAGAAAGGUGGUAAGAUGGCUAGAUAAGCACAGACUUGUGUAUAAAUGACGAGAGAGACGAGGGUUUCUACCUUUCUCUCAUGGAUACCUGUACUUUUCCAAUGAAGAAAAAUUAUGUACCAUAUACAUUGUAUUUUUAUAGAUCACAGAACUAAUAGCAAUAGAACACUUUCAAAACAUCCACUACUAUAGCAGGAACAAGAUGGACAUUCUGUUGUUUAGUGAUCUUAUUAAAAUUAUACUGAAUUGUUGACGAUUCAGAACGGUUACGGUACGAGAAAAUUGUGAAAACAUCUAUAUUUUACCUUCUCUUGGAUAUGAUGUUUAAAUAUACCCCCGAAUUACUGGGUGAUUUUAACAUUUUGACAUGUAAGUUAAUUUGCAGUCAAGAACAAUCUUGUUUAAAUGUGUGUUGUUCAUGUAAAAAAAUAAAUCAAAUUGUAACAUG